UACAGAGGUCCCAAGCGUUGUUCGGAUUCACUGGGCGUAAAGGGUGCGUAGGCGGUCGGGUAAGUCUGUCGUGAAAUCUCCGAGCCCAACUCGGAAACUGCGUCGGAUACUAUUCGGCUAGAGGAAUGGAGGGGAGAGUGGAAUUCCUGGUGUAGCGGUGAAAUGCGCAGAUAUCAGGAGGAACACCGGUGGCGAAGGCGCUCAUCUGGCCCGAUACUGACGCUGAGGCGCGAAAGCUAGGGGAGCAAACGGG
rnacentral:rRNA from 1 species